rnacentral:rRNA from 1 species
UACGUAGGGUGCGAGCGUGUCCGGAAUUAUUGGGCGUAAAGGGCUCGUAGGCGGUCUGUCGCGUCGGGAGUGAAAACUCGGGGCUUAACUCCGAGCCUGCUUCUGAUACGGGCAGACUAGAGGUAUGCAGGGGAGAAUGGAAUUCCUGGUGUAGCGGUGAAAUGCGCAGAUAUCAGGAGGAACACCGGUGGCGAAGGCGGGUCUCUGGGCCAUUACUGACGCUGAGGAGCGAAAGCGUGGGGAGCGAACAGG